rnacentral:sRNA from 1 species
GGAACCUGCCGAGCGACCGGGGCGCGGCGCGGGGAGGCUGGCGGGACGCUCGGGUAGGCGAGCGUUUGCCUCAGCAUGGAGGGCGGGGCCGCGGCAUCCACCCCCGCAGCGCUGCCUUACUACGUGGCCUUCUCCCAGCUGCUGGGCCUGACCUUGGUGGCCAUGACUGGCGCGUGGCUCGGGCUGUACCGAGGCGGCAUUGCCUGGGAGAGCGACCUGCAGUUCAACGCGCACCCCCUCUGCAUGGUCAUAGGCCUGAUCUUCCUGCAGGGAGAUGCCCUGCUGGUUUACCGUGUCUUCAGGAACGAAGCUAAACGCACCACCAAGGUCCUGCACGGGCUGCUGCACAUCUUUGCGCUCGUCAUCGCCCUGGUUGGCUUGGUGGCGGUGUUCGACUACCACAGGAAGGAGGGCUACGCUGACCUGUACAGCCUACAUAGCUGGUGCGGGAUCCUUGUCUUUGUCCUGUACUUUGUGCAGGUGAGUCCUUCCAGCACCCCGGGCCUGGGGCCACCUACCAGGGAGGUGGGAGGGGGAGGGGAGCUGGGCUGAAAUGUGCCUCAUGGAAGGGCCUGAUUUCUGGGGUACGUGCAGGUGAGACAGCUGCCUUCCCAGGCCUGUGUGGGUGCAAAGCUAGGAUUGGCGGCCAAGGGUGCCCAGCUCCCAGGCGCCCCAUGGCUGACUCAGCACGUUUGGCCACAAGCCCAGCUUUCCAAGUAUGCCAAGGCCUCAAGCGUUGGGGGACCGGUCCCU